AGGAUCGCUUGGCUCAUAUGGAAGAAGAACGCCUGCAGAAUUUGGAAGACUUGUAUCAACAGCAGCAAC
rnacentral:rRNA from 1 species